GCCAGGUAUGUUCACACUCUCCUGUAGUCUCAGCUACUCAGGAGGCUGAAGCAGGAGGACUGCUCAAGCCUAGGUGUACUGGGCUGCAAUGUGCUGUGUCAAAUGGGUAUCUGCACAAAGUUUGGAAUCAAUCUGAUGAACUCCCGGGAGCCAGGAGACCACUAGGUUGCCUAAGAAGGGGUGAGCUAGCCAAGGUCGGAAACAAAGCAGGUCAAAACUUCAGUGCUUGCCGGGAGUGGUGGCUCACACCUGUAAUCCCGGCACUUUGGGAGGCUGAGGCAGGCAGAUCACCUGAGGUCAGGAGUUCGAAACCAGCCUCA
ensembl:misc_RNA Metazoa_SRP Metazoan signal recognition particle RNA